rnacentral:rRNA from 1 species
GAUGAACGCUGGCGGCGUACCUAAUACAUGCGAGUCGAGCGAAUAGACGAGGAGCUUGCUCCUCUGCCGUUACCGGCGGACGGGUGAGUAAUACGAGGAUAACCUACAUAUAAGACUGGGAUCACUUAAGGAAACCGGAGAUCAUAUCGGAUCAUAUAUUGAACCGCAUGGUUCAUUAGUGAAAAACGGUUUUGAUGUGCCUUAUAGAUGGAUCCGCGUCGCAUUAGCUAGUUGGUAAGGUAACGGCUUACCAAGGCGACGAUGCGUAGCCGACCUGAGAGGGUGAUCGGCCACACUGGAACUGAGACACGGUCCAGACUCCUACGGGAGGCAGCAGUAGGGAAUCUUCCGCAAUGGGCGAAAGCCUGACGGAGCAACGCCGCGUGAGUGAUGAAGGUCUUCGGAUCGUAAAACUCUUUUAUUAGGGAAGAACAAAAGCGUAAGUAACUAUGCACGUCUUGACGGUACCUAAUCAGAAAGCCACGGCUAACUACGUG